rnacentral:tRNA from 1 species
UCCUCAAUAGUGUAGUGGUGAUCAUACCUGCUUGUCACGCAGGUGACCUGGGUUCGAUUCCCAGUUGGGGAGC